GACGAACGCUGGCGGCGUGCUUAACACAUGCAAGUCGAACGGAAAGGCCCUGCUUGCAGGGUGCUCGAGUGGCGAACGGGUGAGUAACACGUGGGUGAUCUGCCCCUUACUUUGGGAUAAGCCUGGGAAACUGGGUCUAAUACUGGAUAGGACCAUGCUGUAGGUGGUGUGGUGGAAAGAUUAGUUUCGGUAAGGGAUGAGCUCGCGGCCUAUCAGCUUGUUGGUGGGGUAAUGGCCUACCAAGGCGUCGACGGGUAGCCGGCCUGAGAGGGUGGACGGCCACAUUGGGACUGAGAGACGGCCCAGACUACUACGGGAGGCAGCAGUGGGGAAUAUUGAACAAUGAGCGCAAGCCUGAUGCAGCGACGCCGCGUGGGGGAUGACGGCCUUCGGGUUGUAAACUCCUUUCAGCCAUGACGAAGCCCUUGUGGUGACGGUAGUGGUAGAAGAAGCACCGGCUAACUACGUG
rnacentral:rRNA from 1 species